ACUGAUUUUUAGUAACCGGGCAUGGUAGCAUACACCUUUAAUCAUAGCACUCAGGGAAACCGAGGCAGGUGGGCC
rnacentral:miRNA from 14 species